CACGUAGGGUGCAAGCGUUGUCCGGAAUUAUUGGGCGUAAAGGGCUCGUAGGCGGUCCGUCACGUCGGGAGUGAAAACUCGGGGCUCAACCCCGAGCCUGCUUUCGAUACGGGCGGACUAGAGGUAGGUAGGGGGAGAACGGAAUUCCUGGUGUAGCGGUGGAAUGCGCAGAUAUCUGGAGGAAUACCGGUGGCGAAGGCGGCAUCCUGGACCAUUACUGACGCUGAGGCGCGAAAGCUAGGGGAGCAAACGGGG
rnacentral:rRNA from 1 species